UUUAGAAGGAAAAGCCCAAGUCGCAUG
rnacentral:sRNA from 1 species